rnacentral:rRNA from 1 species
UACGAAGGGGGCUAGCGUUGUUCGGAAUUACUGGGCGUAAAGCGUGCGCAGGCGGUUAUGUAAGACAGAUGUGAAAUCCCCGGGCUUAACCUGGGAACUGCAUUUGUGACUGCAUAGCUAGAGUACGGUAGAGGGGGAUGGAAUUCCGCGUGUAGCAGUGAAAUGCGUAGAUAUGCGGAGGAACACCGAUGGCGAAGGCAAUCCCCUGGACCUGUACUGACGCUCAUGCACGAAAGCGUGGGGAGCAAACAGG